rnacentral:misc_RNA from 1 species
GAUGAAGAACGUAGCGAAAUGCGAUAAGUAGGGUGAAUUGCAGAAUUCAGUGAAUCAUCGAAUCUUUGAACGCACAUUGCGCCCUUUGGUAUUCCUUAGGGCAUGCCUGUUCGAGCGUCAUUUAAACCUUCAAGCUCAGCUUGGUGUUGGGUGACUGUCCGCUUCACCGCGGACUCGCCUCAAAAUUAUUGGCGGCCGGUACAUUGGCUCUCGAGCGCAGCAGAAACGCGUAACUCGAGGUCCUCGUGCUGGCUCCCAGAAGCUAUCUUCACAAUUUUGACCUCGGAUCAGGUAGGGAUACCCGCUGAACUUAAGCAUAUCAAUAAGCGGAGGA